CCGAUCAACGAAAAACGUCAAUUCCCGUCGGCCCUUGUUUCAAGUGAAGGGAAGUAAAAUGUCGGCGAUGGAUGGGAUGGGCCUCUUAAUGUGCUUUUAACAAUAUCUCAACCUUUAAUACUGUAUUUUAAACGUAAAUGUCACGUUUUAGAAAAUAACGGUUAGUUGAAGAUUGUGGAUUUAAACGGACAAAACAUAUAACUGGAUCUAAGACAAAGACUCCAGCGAAGAGGAAACAGAGAAGGAUGAAGAAAGGAGUAGGACGAGGUUGAGGUGUUACCAAGGUGAUACGGAGAACCCAGAUGACGAGCCUAGCGAACUGGGAGCUGCCAUUACUGCAACCCCCGAAACACUUUCCUGCCUGGUCUCUCUUCACUGCUAUCCACAGCAUCUCCUCGGCAGUUCUGACCUUGAAGUGGAGUUGACAGCUGAGGUGAGAGUGGAAGGCUCGUUACUGCUCAGUAUCCUGUCCACUGUCGCCCCUGGUAUAGGCAGCAGGAAGACAGGGUUGCUCUUUGAUCCCCGACCCUCAGUAUCCAUCCUCCACCCACAACCCCAGGCUCCAGGGAGUUCUGGACUACAGCUUACCCCAGGCCCAGCUCCCAUCCUGGCCAUGGACUUAACUCAAAUCCCAUGCCUUAAAGGGAUGCCUGAUGUCCCUCCUCCUCACGGGAUCACAGAAACUGCCAAGAGCCCCCUGCCCUCCUCCACAUCUUCCUCCUCUCCCGCCUCCCCACCUUCCUCUUCAUCCUCCUCUCCUGGUGCCGUGGCAACCAGCUACAACAAUGAUAUCCAGGAGGGAAGUGCCAACAGCAUGAUGAUGGGUGAUGUGGUGUCCUCCACUUCUGCCUCAGUGGCUCCCCCCUCUCACUCUGACCCCUCGUUCUCCUCCUCAGAUCCCUUGUUAUGCCUCUCACCCCGUGUGGGCACCAACGGACAAAAAGAGCUCGAGACUGAGAUUUACGACCCAUUUCACCCCACGGAAGGAGAGAGAGAGGAAGGAGCGGCGGAGGAGGAAGGGGAAAAGUACGACCCCUUUGAUCCGACCGGCUCUCCCCCCUCAGAGAGAGAGGAAGAGGAGUGUGAGACGGGGGGAGGGAGGGAGCGAGGGAACAGCGUGAGCAGCAAGGGGAGCAAUGCUAGAGGGAAGAGAAGGAAGGUAGAGACGGGGAGGACAGGAGGAGAGGAGAAAGACAAUGCUCCUCCAGACUCCACGGAUGCUCUCUCUGUUCCCCCGCUCUCACCGCGCUCCCUCCCUCUCCCCCUUCGGAGGAGGCUGGACCGAACCAAAGAGCCCCGGGUGAAAGUACGGGACAGGAGAGAGAAGGCGAACCACUCGGACCACUCUGAGAUUGAGGAGGGUGAGAUCGUUGGGGCCACUGAGAGGGACGGAGGAAAGAGGGAGGAGAGAGGCCGGGAAGGAGUCCUUCCUCUCGUCCUCCCCAUCUCCUCUGGCAGUCCUUUCCUCCACAGGGGAGCCAAGCCGGAGAGGAUCCUGAGGGUGUUGGACGGGGAUAGCUUUGUGUCGGUGCGGGCUGAGGGGGACUGGGCGGGGCUGGUGAUGCCUGGCAGGGAGGAUGGGGAGCCCAUGGAUGAGGAGGAGGAAGAAGAGGAGGAGGAGCUGGUGGUGGUCGGGGUAGGAGAUCUGAGGAGGAAGCUGGUCAGCCGGCGUAAUGCGAGAUACCGCUCCUCCUUCCCCUCUUCCCGCUCGCCUCAGCACCUCCCACCGUCUCCUCACACCGUCCCUCUGGCCCCCUCCCCGCUCACUGCCGAGAAGGACAAGAGCCGCAAGAGCUCCAUGGAGAGGGAGCGGCGCAAGCGAAAGGAGUGCAAGGUAGGGGAGGAGGAGCAGGAGGAGGAGAGGAGGAGGAAGAAAAUGAAAGAAAAGGAUGGUGGUAGAGAGAAUGGUGGGGAGAGGAAGGAAAGACACAGGGAGAGGGGGCGGCGGAGUGAGAAAGAGAAGAAAACAAAAGUGGAGAAGGAGAGAGGGAGGAGCAGCAGAAGCGACAGCAGGAAGAGGAAGAAGAGACGACGGAGCACCCCGGAAUCUUCAGUACGCCCCCGCUCACAAAACACCUCAGCGCAGCAGGCCCACGGGGGCCGCUCCUGGUCAAACACUUCAGAGGACCGACACAGAGACAGAGACAGAGAGAAUAACAGAGACCGCUACAGAGACAGAGUUGGGGAACGAGACGGUGAUCGAGACAAGGACAGAAAGAAAGAUGACACCCGGAGAAGGGAGAGGGAUGGAGACUCUAGCCGGAUAAAGAGGGAAAGAGAGCGAGACCGCGUCCGCAAAUCGACCAGCCGAGAAAGAGGCAGCUCCAAGAGGUCCAAAGGAAGCGUAGAACCAAGGCACCGGGAAAGGGACAGGCACCAGGACAGAGAAAGGCACAGAGAAAGGCACCAGGACAGAGAAAGGCACAGAGAAAGGCACCAGGACAGAGAAAGGGACAGGGAGAGACGUCGAGAUGGUCGACCCGUGGUGCCGCCAUCCAUCCAGGAUCUCAAUGGCUCUGACCUGUUCGCCAUCAAGCGCACCAUCACGGUCACCACGACCACCACCACCACUCUCCCCGGAUCCCCCCCGCUGGCUCCAUCCUCCCCCCGCAGCCCCUCUCAGGGCUCCGAAAAGCCCCACAAGAGGAAGAAGAAGAGCCGUCGGCGCUCGGACGAAGAGUUAGAAGACAGCAUUGGCCGGCGUGGGAGCCUCUCCCUCUCUCCGCCGUCACAUUACCAUGGCUAUGACUCGGACCACUUCUCAGACAAACUGGAGAUAGACAUGCAUUCUCUGGACGGGGAGGCUCUGGAUUCAGACUACCCCACUAUAGAAGACUCUCCUCCCCAGCUUCUGGAACCCGCUGCCCUCAGCGCCAAACCCAAGACUGCUACCAAACCUGGACGCCACCACUUCAAGAAGAAAUCACGAACGGGCAAGAAAGCUGGUCAGUCCAAGUCUUCCUCCUCGGUUCGACCUAAAGGUAAGGAGCUCUCCACCUCCUCACUCUCCCCAACCCAGGCCACCCCCGGCCUGGCCUCCGCCCCAGCCACCCUCCCCUCGGCCAAACGAGGGCGGAAGAUAGGGAAGGAGAAAGAGCGUGGGGAAAAAGGAGGAAAGAAAGAGUCUGGUCGGUCUGGCAGGUCCAAGAAAUUAAGUGGAGGUGGGAGGAAAGCCAAGCUGCAGUCCAAAGUGUCAGUGUUGGUGCGCGAGGGUGUGAGCAGCACCACGGGCGGCCCGGUGGGCUCGGGGAAGCUGGGCAUGGAGCUCCUCGGGGUGGGCGGGCCAGUAGGGGGCUCUGGGGGGCCGGUGGUGGGAGGCUCCAUUGCCGUGGUCUUUAGGAGGGACAAUGAGAGCAGAUCUCCGUUCCUCAAGCCGUGCUCUGAGCCUCUAUUGCUGAGUGGACGCAACAAGGACCUGGGGAAGGUGGGCAAACGCAGUUCCCUGGCCGUUCCACCUUCCUCCUUGCUGGCUAAUCCCACGGUGGCAGCGCUGAAGUCCAAGAAGGCCAAGCCCAGCUCUACCACCUCCACAUCCUCCUCGGCGUCUUCGCCCUCAUUGUCCCUAGCAACCAAGCGUAGGAGGCGGCUAGCAAAGAAGACGCGGGGAGAGAAAGGCCUAGCCAGCGGUUUGACGGACGUGGAUGGUGCUAUAGCCAACUGUAGCUCUGAGGGCGGCGGCUGGGGUGGGUCUUCCUCCGACAUCCAAUCAGGAGUGGGGGCUAAACCCUCCAGUCCGCACUCUGGUCCAGCUGGUCCAACCCCUUCCUCAUCCUCUUCAUCAUCCUCUUCCACCAGUGUCCUCCCCCCGUCCUCCUCACCCCCCCACACCCCUCCGCCCUCCCUCACCACUUCGCGUGAUGCUCGGGAGUCAUCUCCCGACUCUCAGACAGUGGACAGCAGCUGUAAGACUCCUGAGCCCUCUUUCCUACCCGAGGACUGCCCCGCUCAGACCCAGAGCACCCUCAACCUGUCCCCCUCCAGUCCCUCGUCCCAGGGGGGAGGCCUCUCACAGUACGGCCCCUCCAACAUUAAGCCACUCCCUCUAGACGAAGACCCCAAAUCCCUGGCCUCACCCCCUUGUUCCUCAUCUGUCUCUGCCCUCGCCUCGCUUUCCCUUCCUCCUUCCUCCACAGACCCCUCCUCCUCUUCCUCCUCUUCUGUUUCUUCCUCCUCGGCAAACAAGCUGCCACCGCCCCCACCUCCCCCUCCUGCUGCCCCUACCCUCCCCUGGAGUCUGCAGACAGGAGUGGACUGCACGGCCGGAGGAGUUUUAGCAUUGACAGCUCUGCUGUUUAAGAUGGAAGAGGCCAAUAUCGCAAGUAGAGCCAAAGCCCAGGAGUUCAUCCAUGCUACCAGCCAGAUUCUCUCCCAAACCAAUCAGAACCAUUCAUCGCAGCAUGCCCCUUCUUCCUCCUCCCAGGUUCCUCCUUCCCCUGGCCCCACCCCUGCUCAGUUCAUCCUGCACAGCGCUCUCCCAUUGGUGGGCUGCACCAAAACCCAGCCCAACCACCUGCACCAUGGCAUGUCUUUGGGUGGUGGCUGUGCCCAGACCCCGCCCCCUCUCAUGCCCUCUGGGUUCUCGGGAGGGUCCGGAGACUCCAGUGAUAUAGGCUGGGACAACGAGAGCAAGGACCCUGACAAGUACCUGAAGAAGCUCCACACUCAGGAGCGUGCGGUGGAGGAGGUGAAGCUGGCCAUUAAGCCUUACUACCAGCGUAAAGACAUCAACAAGGACGACUACAAGGACAUCCUGAGAAAGGCAGUGCACAAGAUCUGCCACAGUCGAAAUGGAGAGAUCAACCCGGUCAAGGUCUCUGUUAGUGGGUGAACACUCCUGUCAGUUUAUCUCUACAACUGUUUGACCAGUCAGGCAGUCAGAAUUGGAACCAAUGGAAUAGUCCCAAAAGAGUCAACUCCAACCAACAUCAAGAGCACCUCCGAAACUAUGUCUCCGGUAGUUAGUGAGUGAACACCUCAGUCAGUUUCUCUACAAGUGUUUGACUAGUCAGAAUUGGAACCAAUGAAACAGUCCCAAAAGAGUCAACUUCAAGCAACAUCAAGAGCACCUCUACACUAUGUAAGUAUAUAAUUAUUAAGGCUGUCAGAGUUACCCAGAUUAAUAUACUUUUUGACAUUUUAAUGCAUCAUUUUAUUUUUUUAACAAUUAUCUGAAAGUGUUGGAAAUGCAUUGAAAACAUCCAAAAUACAUUAUCUAUACAGCAAAAAUCUACAAGUUGGCAUUGACGUUUUAAAUAAAGUGAGCUUUCUCAAUUUACCUAAUUUGCUAACCGUUACUUGAGACAAAAUCAAGACCUCACUAUAUGUGUAAUGUGUUUUUGUAUGAACUUGGACACUUCCCAACCUCCUAUUCAUCUUCAGCACGAAACCAGUGUCUACAUAUGUGAAAACAGAACAUUUCUAUCAGGGGCAGUCGCCAUAGCCUAGCUCAAGGCCAAAAAUGUAAAGUAAGCAACAGCAAAGUAGGCUAAAAUUAUUCCAAUCCUGAUUUAAAAUGCAUGUAGGACCAUCUUUUCCCUGUCUUUUCAAAGAUGCCUAGAGAUCUUUUGAUCUUUGAGAGAACCUUUUCUGCUCUUGUAGGAAACAAUCACUCCCCUAUUGCAUUUGCACAAGCUGCCCCCUUGUUGGCUACUAUGUUGCAAUAUCUACAGUCGAAGUUGGAAGUUAACGUACACCUUAGCCAAAUACAUAUAAACUCAGUUUUUCACAAUUCCUGACAUUCAAUCCUAGUAACAAUUCCCUGUCUUAGGUCAGUUAGGAUCACCACUUUAUUU